rnacentral:sRNA from 1 species
UUAGUAAAAUAUUUUCCGCAGACAGCAGGCGCCGUUAUCGGCUUAAAUUUGCCCGCCGAGGAAACGCUUUAAAGGUGAUUUAGGGCUUUUCUUCGUUUGCGGAGAAAAGCCUUUUAUUUUUU